CUCAUAGUACUAGCAAUAUAAAUAACAAAAUCCCAUAAAAAAACAUGAAUGUCUUCCUGUUAAUGUUUGCUUUUAACACUGCGUUGGUUUCAGGCUCUUCUCUCAGCGAUCAAGUCUACCAGACUCCAUUUUAUAUAGCAGCAAACCCAGGACAGAAUGCCAGUAUCAACUGCUCCCACAGCAUUAGGAGCUACAAUCGAAUUUUCUGGUAUAAGAAAUCAGAGCACAGGCAGCUGCAAUUUCUGGGCUACACUUAUCAGACAACCAGCAAUGCUGAACUCGGAGUCAAUGUGUCAAUCAAAGGGAAUGCAGCUGAAGGAGAUAUCAGUACUUUGACUAUUAAAGAGCUCACUGUAAGCAGCAGUGCAGUUUACUUCUGUGCUGCUAGCUACCACAAUAAAAACCAGACCUGCACUUUAACCCUUGACGUUCUCACCCCAAACAGCAGUGCAGUUUACUUCUGUGCUGCCAGCUUCACAGUGAUCAAUAUCACUGCUCCUCACCACAAGAAAGAUAUUUCUCAUACCCAAAUGUACUGGUACCGGCAGUGUCCAGGGGAGACCAUGACCCUCAUUGUGUACACAGUAUAUGGUGGGCAGCAGGACUAUGGAGACAACCUUCAGACCAAAUACUGA